AGGUAUUCAAACAAAUUGUUGUAGCCCAGCUGCCUGCAUGACUCCUUUUCACGCAACCCCACACAGUUAAAAGGUAUUCAAUAAUGUAAGAAGUUUUUAAAGAAAAUAGUAUAUAAUAGAAAAGACAGGUUCAAAAAUGAAUAAACAAUAAUCUAAAAGUAAUUCUAAAAUAAUCAGAAUGGACAAUCACCAAGAUACAUUCAAAAUCCAGACUUUAAAAGCAUUUUUAUAGUAAUACCCAUAAGUCUGAUAUUCUUGGGUAUAACAAUUACCAUUGACCGACUCUGCACAUGAAUCCUAAAAUCCCCAAAAGUAAAAACAAACUUGAAGAAAGUACUGUAAUCCAAUUGAGAGGCACUGAUCUUAAACAGGAAAGCAAGGCACAGAAUCAAUGGCAAAAACUCUUUACACGGAGCUCCCAAAACUUGACACAUGAAAAUCCAAAGUUGAUCUCACAACGAAUAUUGUGGUAGAUCACUCAAGAAUUCUAAAUCUUGGCCAUGACACCACUCUUACUCACACCUGGGAUCCAUUUGCUUAUUUUUCAGCCUCUGGAAAAAAUGUAGUUGUUUCUGCUUCCUGCUAUCUCUUCAGAACUAUAAUCGUUGAAUUAUAGGCAGAUUCACUGUCUCCUCCACAUUCCUUUCAGAGUCAAUUCCUGGCAGAUUCUAACCAAAACAGCAGAUCUAACCAAAACAUUCUCAUCACCAUGAGAAACACUUUCUUUUCCCCUAAAAGCAAUUCUACCUGUGGCACUCCCAUCCUCUAUGGAAACUUCCUGAGACCCCACAGAAGUAACAGGCUUAGAAGUAAAAUCCUCAGGCCCCACCAAAAUGUCCCUCUCCUCAUCCCCAUCCUCAAUCCUGUUUUGUGCUGAAGAAAUUAACUUUUACCUGAGGUGUUGUUUGGAUACCCCAGGUAAAAACGCAGGAGGGUGCACAUUUUUCACCCUAUGUUGAUGCACCCUCAGUCUUCUCCCCAAAAGCAGAUUGGUGUUCAGCCUGAGCAAUACGGAGCAGAUGAGGUAAUAGGGGAAUGCAACCCAAACUAGAUAAAGAAGUAGUCCAGUAAUAUUUGUCUACUCUACAUGAAUUCAUGUCUCUAGAGCCAGAUGAGCUACAUCCAAGAAUAUUGAAGGAACUAGCAGAAGUAGUUUCAGAACCACUGGCAAUAAUCUUUGAGAAUUUUUAGAGAACAAGAGAAGUCCCAGAAAACUGGAGGAGGGUAAAUGUUGUCCCUAUCUUCAAGAAGGGAAAAAAGAGGACCCAAACAAUUACUGUCAAGUCAGACUGAAAUCAAUACCAGGAAAGAUUCUAAAGAAGUGCUACAGACCAGGGCACUGGGAAAUACUAUCUGCCACAUAUUUUUGAUCAUGAGCUGCUACAAGAGCAGUUAGUUGGAAAGAUAUCUAAAGGUCCUACUGCAAUUGCUUUUCUAAAUGUGCCCCAAAGUCCUUUAUCGGAGGAGGGGGGUGUCAUAUCAUUCAUCAACAGCCAUAAAUGUGAUCAGAUUGUGAUUACA
rnacentral:lncRNA from 1 species